GAACGCUGGCGGCGUGCCUAAUACAUGCAAGUCGAACGCACUCUCGUUAGAUUGAAGAAGCUUGCUUCUGAUUGAUAACAUUUGAGUGAGUGGCGGACGGGUGAGUAACACGUGGGUAACUUGCCCUAAAGUGGGGGAUAACAUUUGGAAACAGAUGCUAAUACCGCAUAAAACCUAGCACCGCAUGGUGCAAGGUUGAAAGAUGGUUUCGGCUAUCACUUUAGGAUGGACCCGCGGUGCCAUUAGUUAGUUGGUGAGGUAAAGGCUCACCAAGACCGUGAUGCAUAGCCGACCUGAGAGGGUAAUCGGCCACACUGGGACUGAGACACGGCCCAGACUCCUACGGGAGGCAGCAGUAGGGAAUCUUCCACAAUGGACGAAAGUCUGAUGGAGCAACGCCGCGUGAGUGAAGAAGGUUUUCGGAUCGUAAAACUCUGUUGUUGGAGAAGAACGUAUUUGAUAGUAACUGAUCAGGUAGUGACGGUGUCCAACCAGAAAGCCACGGCUAACUACGUGCCAGCAGCCGCGGUAAUACGUAGGUGGCAAGCGUUGUCCGGAUUUAUUGGGCGUAAAGCGAGCGCAGGCGGUUUCUUAAGUCUGAUGUGAAAGCCUUCGGCUCAACCGAAGAAGUGCAUCGGAAACUGGGAAACUUGAGUGCAGAAGAGGACAGUGGAACUCCAUGUGUAGCGGUGAAAUGCGUAGAUAUAUGGAAGAACACCAGUGGCGAAGGCGGCUGUCUGGUCUGUAACUGACGCUGAGGCUCGAAAGCAUGGGUAGCAAACAGGAUUAGAUAUCCUGGUAGUCCAUGCCGUAAACGAUGAGUGCUAGGUGUUGGAGGGUUUCCGCCCUUCAGUGCCGCAGCUAACGCAUUAAGCACUCCGCCUGGGAGUACGA
rnacentral:rRNA from 1 species